UACAGAGGUCCCAAGCGUUGUUCGGAUUCACUGGGCGUAAAGGGUGCGUAGGUGGCCAGGAAAGUCUGAUGUGAAAUCUCCGAGCUCAACUCGGAAAUGGCAUUGGAAACUAUCUGGCUAGAGGGUCGGAGGGGGGACUGGAAUUCUCGGUGUAGCAGUGAAAUGCGUAGAUAUCGAGAGGAACACCAGUGGCGAAGGCGAGUCCCUAGACGACUCCUGACACUGAGGCACGAAAGCUAGGGGAGCAAACAGG
rnacentral:rRNA from 1 species